UACGUAGGGACCGAGCGUUGUCCGGAAUCAUUGGGCGUAAAGAGCGUGUAGGCGGCCUUUUAAGUCCUGCGUGAAAUCCUGCGGCUCAACCGCAGACGGUCGUGGGAAACUGGAAGGCUAGAGUGCGGGAGAGGAGAGUGGAAUUCCCGGUGUAGCGGUGAAAUGCGCAGAUAUCGGGAAGAACACCCGUGGCGAAGGCGGCUCUCUGGAACGCAACUGACGCUGAGGAGCGAAAGCGUGGGGAGCGAAUAGG
rnacentral:rRNA from 1 species